AUGAGUCACCAGACAGAACUUAGCAACCCACCUACCCAUGCCCACACGAGUGCAGAGCGAAGAAACAGAAAGGACCUGCCAUCUCCUACUUAGCGGAAACAAAUGAGCCAUUGUAAUGUGUGGAUCAUUUUAGGAAGUGAAGUGGGCCUGCACCGAAGCCCAUGCGUCUGACACAAAAAUAGCCGGUGACUGUUUUCCAUUUCAUCUGCCUGCCACUCGACACCAAGAGCUCAGUCUGAUAUCUGCGCUGGCUAGCUCCGUCCUGCGUUACAGCAGUGUUUGGCCCCUCUGACUCAACAUCAGCAUCUAUUUCGGGGCUCCUUUGUUUAAUGGGAUUUUAAAGGUUUCCUCGUUGAGUGUGUGAGGGGGCUAUUUGAGGUACACCACCGAGAAUGGAGCCAAGGAAAAAUAAAAGGAACGUGAUGAGGUAAUAAAAGCUCCAAUGGAACCUGUGAACCCAAGAUCAGCUAUUUCUGCAGCACAGAAUAACGGCUGAAGGCCAUACAUGCCAUGAAUUGCUUGGACAAGCGUAUUAUGACCCACAGAAUGACCAUGCAGCACCAUCGCUACAUGGACAAUCUCUGUGAGAGCUUUAUGGAUGAGACAGACCGAGAGGUCAGCAGUCUCACAGACAGAGCUUUUCGGAGCCUUUGUAUUGGUGAUGAAGCUGUGUACAACGACUCGGAGUUUUCCCCUCCACCCAUUAGCUGUCUGAGACCUCUUGCAGAGGAGUUGUCAAAACGGACAUCAGAAAACUGUAUCAAGCAGACUAAUGGAGCCAAUGAAACUCCCCUACGACAGCAAAAGAACUUGGCCACUGUGUCCUCACUUUUUGCCGCCUUUAGUGCUGCCACUGAGAAAAAUGGUGACAAUACCAUCAGAAACCAUCAGUUACGUGUUGGGAAUUCUGUGGAUACAUGGGACAAAUCUGCCCUUCUUAGCAUACAAAAGGAACUGGCUGAAUUUUCCACGGAUUACCACAAACACAUUUCAAGUGGGCAAUUUUCCAAGAUGAAAAACCAUCUGAAUUCCUCCGAGAAACAUGAUGGAAAAAAAUCACUCAACGAUGGGAAAACCUCUAAACCCAAACAUGGCAAAUCCAGCAAGCUGAGGAAGUUGAACUCUAAAAACUUUUUUCUUCAUAGUGAAUUUAGCCCAUUCCAGUCAUGGAGGGACUUAAAUAGAUUCCCUUUUUGUCAGGAGGAAAUAUCAGACCUCCUGCCCUCAGAUAGCCUUCCUAAAUGGUACGACUCCCCUCUUUACAAGGAACUUACUGCAGCACACAGAGUUAACCCUGCCCAACAACAAGAAGCACUACAAAGAAUUGAAGGAUCACACAGAAUCAAAACACCACAGGAAAGAAAGACUGAACAUUGCCAGAAACAAGAAGCACCUCAAGCAACUGCACUACAAACAUCUUUUACUCUGGAGAAACGUUGUCAAUCAGACAGUGGUGAAACGUGUGCACCAUGGAGGAAAAACAGAGGUAGAGCAAGAAGUGUUGUUCCUACUAGUCACCCUGAGAAGGGCCGACCACCAAAUGAAAAGCCAAACUAUGCUGAAAAUCUUCCCAAAAAACAGGAGGUGAAAUCAACAGGGGAGCAGAGUUCAAAGAGCUCCACACCAUUCAGCAUAUCACAGCUGCUCACGCCAGUGAUACCUUCCCAUCAGGAGACUGAGACCUCAGAGGUCCUACAGGCUAUCCUAUCCGGUGCCCUAGAUUUCUCCUGUCCGUCCAAAUCAUCUCCUGAAACAAAACCACGUGAUGGCUACAAAGCCAUGGCAUCUAGUCUGCUGUUCAACCUAAAAGACAAUCGGAAGAGAGUUAAGGCUAUGUAUAGCCCAUCCACUUUCAAAAGUGCUGAUAUAGCUGAUCAAACAAAGGCAUCAUCCAUGCCUGAAAGUUCUCUUUCCAAAGAAGCACAAGAAGCCUGCCCAAAAGCAGGGGAUAUUCAUUCAAGUAGCAAUUCAACCUCUCCAAAAAUGUCAGUCUCUGGUCAUACUAAACAAACGGACAGUGUCGUAGACAUGGCCAUAAAGGCAAAGCAAAAUGUUAAAGAAAGAGUUGAUAAUCUCCAAAAUAGUGAAUCUCAGGUCUAUCCUGUGGGAAUGGAUCUACCUUGUCUAAAUGAAAACAACGGAUAUGGUGGGUUAUCGUCCAUAACAAACAACAAAAGCGUAGCUGUCAACAAGUACCCAUGCUUGAAUUUGUACAAGAAAGCUGGUUCUCUGGAUACUGAUACAGGAAACUGUACGCCUUCAUUUGAUACGGCUGCUCAGCCGGUUAGAGAUAUGAACUAUGGCACUGAGCAGACAAAUACUAGACAGCUGAAAGAGAAAGAUACAUGUAAUAAAUCUAUGAACGACAAGGUCAUGGUGGUUCAAAGUACAGACCCAGCAGUGGGGCCCAUUUUAAAUGCAAAUGCUGAAAGCUGUAAUAAAGCUCAAAGGAAAACACAAAGUGAAUCUUCAGGAAGAGACGAGAACUCAAAAGAAAAACAAGUUAUUGCCGUGCAAAUAGAUCAAAAUACGACACACAGUGAAGUUGCUCUUACAAAUUUGAAAGAUCUUGGAAUAAAUAAACUGGAGAUUGUAGAGCCAACAGAGGCCUGCAGAGACAAAGCAAGGCCUAAACAUAUAUUUGCAGCCAGGCAAAAUAACUACAUCAAAAGCCAAAGACAUGCAAUUGCAGACAAUGAGAAGGAUGAAGCUGAGGAAACAAAUGUGAGGUCUGAAGAUGUCACAGACAGUGUAUGUCUUCAGAGCCAAACCCAUCAAGAGUUCAGGUUGACUGAAAGCACAAAGGUCAUGGGGGAUUGCCAUAGCGGGGGGUGCACAUCAGAUGAACCCAUGCUGGGUAAAGUAGACGUGUCACAGCUGAGGGGCAGGGGCAGUGUCAAAAAUAAACCAGUGGUGAAUAACCUAGAGGAGGAGGUGCUCGCAACUCCUAGGGGCCAGAAGUCAACACGCAAUGAGAUUUUAGCCAUGAAAGGGAACACUUUGGCUAAAAGAGACAUUUUUGCAAAUAAGGAGCCGCCACCAAUAAAACAAACUUUGGUUCCAAAGAAAGAAGAUGCAACCUUCAAUAAAUAUGACCUGGCUAAAGCCGCUCUUGAGGAGAUUAUCUUAGAGAGGCAAGAAAGACGUAAGAAACUUGUGCAUUUACCCUGCGAGGAGCCCGAUAAUGCCACAGAAGAGAGACAUGAGUUUAAAAGUAGCGGCCAAACUAUGCAUUCUGAACAUGGAGUGGGCAAACAAGGCCAUGGUUGCGGGAUAAAAUUAGCCAAGGAGGAUCAGAGCCAACAUUUAACCAGACUGAUAAAACAUGCAGAGGGAGACAAUGGAUUUAAAGAAAACAAAUCUUGCAAUAUCAGCAACAAUAGUGCACUUGAGGACAGCAACUGGCUGCAUCGGACCGCUAAGUCAGUGAAUGAAUGUAUAGAAGAACAUAAAGGCCUCAGCAUGGAAGGUGAUUUGAAACAGAUAAAGAAAGAUACUGUAGUUGUAAGACAGGUUACUGAAUCUUUGACAGCUGCUGAUGUACCACCCAGAAAAGGUAAAUCCAAAUGUUGUGAAGAAGAAUGUCAAACGGGGAUGGGAGAUUUUACAGACAAAGCUGGGAAAUGUGUGAGGGAUAGAGAUUUGAGUGGAAGUGAUAUUAAUGAGGGUUUAGAAAGUGUGGAUGAAAAGAAUGGACAAUUAGCAUGUGAAAUUCCGAUUUAUAAUGAAGAGGGAAAUAAAUGGGGUGAUUUUGAAUACUCAAGAAAAGGUGAUUAUCAGAAGUUUAUACCAGGUAAAACAAACCAACCUGUCUGCAAAAUGCUUGUUGCCAACACAAAAAUGUCCACCAAUAUCAAUGCAGAAAGCAAAGACUCUUCUGAAUGUAAAAGGUCAACACAAUCUGAAACAACUAAGAACAUUUCUUUUAAAUCAAGUGAAACAAUUGACUCACAAGGCUGUCAAACCAUGGAUUUUUCGAAAAAUGAGACUCAAGAUGAAUCAAAUGCAGUCAAGGAACAUAAAACUGACACUGGAACAGAGAAAGAAAUUAAAGUGAAAUCAAGCAAGAACUACGUAAAAGACCUGUUGAAUCGUUUGGGACUCUCAAGUGUUAGUCCUAUUGGAACUGCUCAUUUAGACCAAGAUCGAAUCAUUGAAGAUGCCAAGAUAUCUUCUCCUUUUGGGCAAAAAUCACCUGUGCCUACUAAUGCAGUAAGUCAAGUACACUCACCCCAAGUGCCUAUUAUGUCCCCUUGCUUAUCUUUGGAAAAUCUAUUAAAAGCACCUGAUCCGCAGUCUCUCGAUGAUAUAUUGGUUACAGUUGCCACUAAAGCAGAAGGGAAUUGUGCUGCUAAAGAAAAUCUCCAUAUGGACAAGUCAGAGAUUGUCUCCUGUUCCUUGAGUAACCCUGAAACUGACUCUGAGAUUUCAGACCGGUCUGUUCUCUCUCCUUUAAGUGACAUGGACAAAGGUGGAUGGGUGCGUUGUUUAAUUGAGCAUGCACAGAACCUAACACCAAAUAGUAUGACUCCAAACCAGUCUAAUGCUUCUUCACCCGCUUUAGGCAAACCUGUUAUGUUUAAAGUGAAAGACAACACAUUUAGUUCAUCCCCUGUCGUCAAGAGUGUGAGACCCAUCUUGCACAAGACCAUUCCGAACACAAAUAAGCUGUGGUCUCCAAAAGGGAGCAUCAGUGGUUCAGAAAAGGGUGAGGAAGAUGUUGAGCACUUAAAGGAACCUGUGGGUGUGCAAGGAGGUAUUGCAAAGUCACCAGUCAAACAUUUGCAGCCUGCAGAUAUAGCAGUUUUCCAUGUACCGACUCCUACUACACAACCCAAUGGAUCAAAAGAAAAACAGAGUCUAAGUGGGAGACUAACAGUUCCAGAGGAGGAAGAGAGACACUCUGUUGCUAGUGUCUUGUCAGAUGGACUAGAGAGUUCUGGAACAAGUGCAGGAAAUACUGUGGAUGAGAUAGUGCCAGCUGCCCCCUUGGUGGAUGCAGAGGGAUCCAAAGCACCAAGUGAGCAGCCCGGCUCCAUUUACAGCGCCAAUGAUUCCCAGUUUCAGAAUAAGCCACCGCCAGCUGUCCUUCCCAAAACAGAAAAAGCCUUGCGCCGUGCCAUGAAACUGAACAACCGGAGGAUCCAAAAGGAAGUAGCGAAGAGUAAACCAGAAGGAAAGAACCGAAGCAAUGAGAAAUUGGAAGGUGACAUGACAGGGAGGGUGCCACCCAGCACCAAGAAACAUGCAAAUGAGAGACCUGAUCACAAGGGUCACACCAGUGACAGGAGAUCGGACAUUGAGCAGAGCCAUAGCAGUAACCAAGGAGAACGGAGGGGCAGAAGCAGUGAAAAGCAGUUGCAUGCCAAACAUGAUAACAAGAGUCAGAGGGAAAGGAGAAGCCGCAGCCAUGCAAAGGACACACAUGCGCAGGAAUAUCAGAGCCACAGUCUAGAAGGAGAUGGAAGUAUCCAGAGAUCCAGGAGAAGCAAAAGCUGUGAGAAACAUAGACGAGAAGCUACAUCCAGCUUCCGGUUCAGCCCCCUGAGGGGGCAGUCCCAGCAGCGCCAUCAAUGGAAGUUCUAAGCACACCACUUGUGUACCACGGGUUUGUGCCGGUGCCGGUUUCAUCUCUACCACUACAUAAAUCAGCUACUGCUCUUGCUGGAGAUGUGGAUAAGAAAAAUAGUGCUCCCCAGUGGAUGGAGGAUGAAUAUCAACAGAACUUUAGAGAAGAAGAUUCUUACGAUCAAUAUGGGCCUGAUGACCACACACCAGAAGAAGAACUGGACAUUGUGAGGUGAUGGAGAGAAAGAAGAAUAAAGAUAAUUAUAAUAUGUGAAUUCA
ensembl:lncRNA uncharacterized LOC114773015